AUCACCUGGGGAUCUUUUUAAUGUAGAUUCUGAUUCAGUAGGUCUAGGGUUGGCCUGAAAUUCUGCAUGUCUAACAAGGUCCCAGAUGA
rnacentral:pre_miRNA from 1 species